GGAACUGAAACAUCUAAGUACCCCGAGGAAAAGAAAUCAACCGAGAUUCCCCCAGUAGCGGCGAGCGAACGGGGAGCAGCCCAGAGCCUGAAUCAGUGUGUGUGUUAGUGGAAGCGUCUGGAAAGGCGCGCGAUACAGGGUGACAGCCCCGUACACAAAAAUGCACAUGCUGUGAGCUCGAUGAGUAGGGCGGGACACGUGGUAUCCUGUCUGAAUAUGGGGGGACCAUCCUCCAAGGCUAAAUACUCCUGACUGACCGAUAGUGAACCAGUACCGUGAGGGAAAGGCGAAAAGAACCCCGGCGAGGGGAGUGAAAAAGAACCUGAAACCGUGUACGUACAAGCAGUGGGAGCACGCUUAGGCGUGUGACUGCGUACCUUUUGUAUAAUGGGUCAGCGACUUAUAUUCUGUAGCAAGGUUAACCGAAUAGGGGAGCCGAAGGGAAACCGAGUCUUAACUGGGCGUUAAGUUGCAGGGUAUAGACCCGAAACCCGGUGAUCUAGCCAUGGGCAGGUUGAAGGUUGGGUAACACUAACUGGAGGACCGAACCGACUAAUGUUGAAAAAUUAGCGGAUGACUUGUGGCUGGGGGUGAAAGGCCAAUCAAACCGGGAGAUAGCUGGUUCUCCCCGAAAGCUAUUUAGGUAGCGCCUCGUGAAUUCAUCUCCGGGGGUAGAGCACUGUUUCGGCAAGGGGGUCAUCCCGA
rnacentral:rRNA from 1 species